UACGGGGGGGCAAGGCGUUGUUCGGAAUUACUGGGCGUAAAGGGCUCGUAGGCGGCCAACUAAGUCAGACGUGAAAUCCCUACGGCUUAACCCGGGGAACUGCGUCUGAUACUGGAUGGCUUGAGUUGGGAGAGGGAUGCGGAAUUCCAGGUGUAGCGGUAGAAAUGCGUAGAUAUCUGGAGGAACACCGGUGGCGAAGGCGGCAUCCUGGACCACACUGACGCUGAGUGAGCGAAAGCCAGGGGAGCAACGGG
rnacentral:rRNA from 1 species